AUUGAACGCUGGCGGCAGGCCUAACACAUGCAAGUCGAACGGUAACAGGGAUCAGCUUGCUGAUUCGCUGACGAGUGGCGGACGGGUGAGUAAUGUCUGGGAAACUGCCUGAUGGAGGGGGAUAACUACUGGAAACGGUAGCUAAUACCGCAUAACGUCGCAAGACCAAAGAGGGGGACCUUCGGGCCUCUUGCCAUCGGAUGUGCCCAGAUGGGAUUAGCUAGUAGGUGGGGUAACGGCUCACCUAGGCGACGAUCCCUAGCUGGUCUGAGAGGAUGACCAGCCACACUGGAACUGAGACACGGUCCAGACUCCUACGGGAGGCAGCAGUGGGGAAUAUUGCACAAUGGGCGCAAGCCUGAUGCAGCCAUGCCGCGUGUAUGAAGAAGGCCUUCGGGUUGUAAAGUACCUUCAGCGGGGAGGAAGGGAGUAAAGUUAAUACCUUUGCUCAUUGACGUUACCCGCAGAAGAAGCACCGGCUAACUCCGUG
rnacentral:rRNA from 1 species